rnacentral:misc_RNA from 1 species
AGAAUUAUAUCCGGACAGCGCACAGUACGUUUAUUUAUAAUGAAGAUUUUUUUUGUAAAUUUUACAUGCUGCAUAUUGCAUUAACAUAUUUUUCCUUUCGUGUUUGCAACCUAUUAUUUAGGUAUUUAUCAACCGCAUUAAUUGGCAGUUUAAACUUGCUUCUUAUUUUAAGCAAUGGGAUAAGUAAUAUAAAUUGCUUUGGUUUUCAGAUGAUUGAGCUUCACAGAUUGCUACUUUGCUUUGUACAUAAUAUAUUGGAGGGUAGCAUU